rnacentral:lncRNA from 1 species
CUCUUUUGCUCCUUCCACAAGGCUCUAUAUUCUGCUUCAGUAGUUGAUAGAGCAACGGUGGGUUGUUUCUUGCUGGCCGAAGAGGUGGCGCCCCCUGCCGGUGAGAAAGUGAACCCCCAGUGCUGCGACAUGAGUCUUUACAGGCAGCCCAGUCUGCAUCCGUGAAACCUUCAAAUUGAGUGAUAGGCUGGCUGUGAGUGAAACCAAUAGGAGAAUAUGCUGCGUGAGGAUUUUUGGAGUGGACGAUGCCAAAAUCAAGGGUAUCCUUGAGGUACCUGAGGAUGUGUAUGACCGCAUUCCAAUGUCGCUCCUGUGUGUUAGCCAUGAAUCUACUAACAAAACUAACUGAACAGGCAAGGUCAGGUCGAGUAUCCAUGAGAUAAAGUGAUUAGCCUACCGAAUGGCAGUAGGUCAAUUGAUCAAAUGAAAGAGAUUCAGAAUCAAGCGCCAAAGAUGAAUUUUUCAGGUAGAGGAGUAGAAGCAUGCCCACAAUCUUCGAGCUGAGCUUCAGAUAGGAUCUGCCGAGAAUAAAGCUGUUGAUGGAUCAUAAUUCCAGAUUUCAGCAUAAGAAAUUCAAACCCAAGGGACCGUUUGAUGAGUUCUAAGGUUUUCAUUUCACAUUACAAAUAGAAUUAAGCCGUAAUAACAACAAUUUUUGAGUCAAAAUUGCUUGUCAGUUGCAGGUCGUCAACAUAGAGAAGGACAACAACAAUAUCAGAGCGGUUCCGCAAAUAGUAGAGGUUAUAAUCAACAAUGCUGCGAGACCAAUUUUGAGCUAGUAUAUACAAAUUGAUUUUAGCGUACCAAGCUCUGGGGCUUAGUUUUAGCCCAUAAAUUGAGCCGUUCAAUUUGCACACUAGGUUUUCUUUCCGAGGUGAAAUGAAUUCGUCAGGUUGCUGCACACAGAUGGAUUCCUCUAGUUUUCCAUUGAGAAAUGCCCUUACUACAUCAAGAUGCACAAUGUUCCAUUCAAAACAAGCUGCCCAUGAGAUGGCUGUUUGCAGCGUAGACCAUCUCACUACAAAUGCAAAAGUUUCAGAAUAGUCAAGUCUAGGCUUAUGUUCAAAGCCCCUGGCUACUAGUCGAGUUUUAAGAUGUCGUUAGAGAGGAUGCAAGUCGAGUUUCACCAGGAGGACCCAGCAACUAGAUGAAGCUUUCCGUCCUAGGAGCAAAGGAACUAAUUUCCAAGUUUUAUUUUUAUUGAGAGAAUGUAGUUUCUGAAUAAUUGUAUCUCUCCAAUGAGGGUGCAAUGAAUAAUUGUAUCUCUCCAAUUGUAUCUCUCCAAUGAGGAGUGCAUCUUAAAAUGAUACAUUGUCUUUGAAGCUUUCCAGGAUAUCCUCAGAACAUGCUGAAGAAUUGGAAGCACUGAGAUACAAAUAAUAGUCUUUGUAUAUGGAUGGUAAUCCUAAUGUAUAAUAAGGACUGAGCUAUGGUGGUGAAACCGGAGACGAGUGGAAGUGACCCUUGAGGUGAAAUUGGUGGAGACUAGUUGUAGAAGUUGUCAGUAAGUGCAUGCGGACCUGGUGAUAAAAUAGUUGGCACAAUGUUAGUCUUGGCCUGGUCCUGAGCAAUAGAAGGUAGUAAAACUUAAGAAGGUGUUGAUUUGUGACAAAAAACCUAGUUAGUGUAGGCAUUUGUCAGAAGAAGGGAAAAGAUAAUAAAUGGCACAGGAGUGUGAAUGUUGUUUGGAUAUUUCUUAAAAAUGACACAUCUCAAUUAAUUAACAUUUUCCUUAUGAAGUUAUAAUACACAUAUGCUUUAAAAAUCUCAUCAUUGGCAAUUAUAAUAGAAAGAAUGAAUUUGAAUUUAAGCUUAGUUUGUCAUUUUUUUAGAUAUAUGGAAAAAGAUUUGUUAUCCAAUGAUAGCUAGAUGUCUAAUAUUUGGUUUUGAUUUGUAAA